rnacentral:tRNA from 1 species
GGAGACGUAUCGAAGUGGUCAUAACGGGACUGACUCGAAAUCAGUUGUACCUUACGGUACCGUGGGUUCGAAUCCCACCGUCUCCGCCA